GGCGCCAUGGCUUAGUAGUAAAGCGCCUGUCUAGUAAACAGGAGAUCCUGGGUUCGAUCCCCAGUGGUGCCU
rfam:Ciona savignyi cont_17269, whole genome shotgun sequence.